UCUAUUGUAGUCAAAUUUAUGACGUGGGAUUUAAGCUCCUCAGGUGUAUUAGCCUUUAGAA
rnacentral:tRNA from 1 species